GCUGCACAAAGAGGCUAGAGAGGAAUCUCUCAGUGAAGACCAUCUUGGAAUUGUUUUAAAAGCAGCACUUCUCAUGCUGCCAGCCUUGUUCAGAGAGAAGCUCGAACACUGCAUUGUACUUGGGAAGAGCAAACCAUCUUCACCAAGUUUAAGUACAUGACGCCAGUGACUGAAGAACUUACUGUGGAUGGUGACAACCCUCUACCUACCGCAGUUAAGAGUAAUCAAUCUCUUACAUUAACACCUGAAAAAAUG